rnacentral:rRNA from 1 species
GUUGAUCCUGCCAGUAGUCAUAUGCUUGUCUCAAAGAUUAAGCCAUGCAUGUCUAAGUAUAAAUAGUAUACAGUGAAACUGCGAAUGGCUCAUUAAAACAGUUAUAGUUUAUUUGAUAAUGGAAAGCUACAUGGAUAACCGUGGUAAUUCUAGAGCUAAUACAUGCAAAAAAACCCUGACUUACGAAAGGGUGCACUUAUUAGAUAAAGCCAACGCUGGGUAAAACCAGUUUCCCUUGGUGAUUCAUAAUAAUUUAGCGGAUCGCAUGGCCUUGUGCUAGCGACAGUCCACUCGAUUUUCUG